rnacentral:ncRNA from 2 species
AAAUAUGUGCCUCUACGAUUUUGGUUGCCUGUAGCUGAUAAAGUAUGGCAACCAGAACUAUAGGGUGCGGCUGGAAACGGCUGUUGCCUCCCAUUAUGGAAAGUAGAGCUAAAUAAGUCUCA